AACAUAGCCUUUAGCCCCACACAAGUAUUAAAGGUCCCGCCUGCCCAGUGAGCCCAUGCUUUAACGGCCGCGGUAUCCUAACCGUGCAAAGGUAGCGCAAUCACUUGUCUUUUAAAUAGAGACCCGUAUGAACGGCUAAAUAAGAACAAACCUGUCUCCUGUAAUUAGUCAAUGAAACUGAUCCCCCAGUACAAAAGCUGGCAUAAACCCAUAAGACGAGAAGACCCCGUGGAGCUUUAAACAUAAAACUAACGGCCCUGCCCACUCAUAGUAAAUACUUUUAAGUUGGGGCGACUACGGGGCAAAACAAAACCCCCACGAACCAGGGACCUUUGUCCCCCCAAAGGCCCACAAGCCAACACCAAAAAACUGACCCAGCACCCUACUGAUCAUCGAACCAAGUUACCCCGGGGAUAACAGCGCCAUCCUCUUCAAGAGUCCCUAUCGCCAAGAGGGCUUACGACCUCGAUGUUGGAUCAGGACCCCCCAAUGGUGCAGCCGCCAUUAAAGGUGCGUUUGUUCAACGCUUAAAGUCCUACGUGAUCUGAGUUCAGACCGGAGCAAUCC
rnacentral:rRNA from 1 species